AGGGAGGAGCUCCCAACCGCCGCGGCCGGGCUGCUCGAGGACAUGGCCCCGCCCCAACCGGUGCUUAGUGACGCUCCGGCGGCUGGCGGUGCGGAUGUGGUGGUGUUCGGAACAAGCACAGGAUCGGCUCUCCUGUGCGACCCCAGCAGAGGACAGAUGAAGAACAGUGGUUCAGGGUGAGCUUAACCACUGCAGCGGCUCUGCCAGUAAGGACCACCAGGAGCAGUUUGCUUUCAUCUGACAAAGCCAGCAGUACACCUCCGCUUCCUAGCUCAGCAGAGAGCCAGCUCUCCAGCCCCAUGUCAUCCUUUAGCCCACAGGGAGCUCCUCUCCUUUCCCUCCCACAAGGUACCUCUCUGCUCCAUUACGUGGUGCGUUAUGUAGAGUGGACUGAGUCAUCGACAAGUAGAGACUCCGCUGGACUCGUUAGUAAGGCAGGUCAGAGGAUGGGAAAUAAAUUUGACAAAACUUCGAGGCCCCCAACCUCAGUGAAAUUUCUGUGGCUCCUGCAGGCUGGGGUCAAGAUAUCCCUUCUGAGAUACAGAAACAGGUGUUGCCUCUGACCCCUCCUACAACCCAGAGAAGGGGGCAGUGCCUAGUGGACCUCUUUGGGUUCUGGAGAUAAUAUAUUCCAUAAUUGGGCGUGUUACUCUGACCUAUUUACCAAGUCACCAAAAAAGCAACUAGUUUUCUGCCGGGCACUGUGGCAUACACCUGUAACCCAGCAGCUCAGGAGGUUGAGACAGGAGGAUAGAGAGU